rnacentral:rRNA from 1 species
AUUGAACGCUGGCGGCGUGCCUAACACAUGCAAGUCGAGCGGCAGCGCGGGAGCAAUCCUGGCGGCGAGCGGCGGACGGGUGAGUAACGCUUGGGAAUCUGCCUGUUAGUGGGGGACAACCCGGGGAAACUCGGGCUAAUACCGCAUACGCACUACGGUGGAAAGCCGGGGACCGCAAGGCCUGGCGCUAACAGAUGAGCCCAAGUCGGAUUAGCUAGUUGGUAGGUAACGGCCUACCAAGGCGACGAUCCGUAACUGGUCUGAGAGGACGACCAGUCACACCGGAACUGAGACACGGUCCGGACUCCUACGGGAGGCAGCAGUGGGGAAUAUUGGACAAUGGGGGAAACCCUGAUCCAGCGACGCCGCGUGGGUGAAGAAGGCCUGCGGGUUGUAAAGCCCUUUCAGUGGGGAAGAAAGCCUCGAACCUAACACGUCGGGGUCUUGACGUAACCCCAUAGAAGAAGCACCGGCUAACUCUGUGCCAGCAGCCGACGGU